UCUUUCAUGUUGUGCUCUUCAUGCAGGAGU
rnacentral:piRNA from 1 species